CACGGGUUCUGAAACACUUUAUAAAGUCAAGGACGACAUUGACAGGUAAAAACAUUUUUGGAGGGGCUCUUUAACAAAGGGUUUUACUUAAUAACAUUGAAAUAAAUAAAAGUCAAUCUCUGCGCUAAGAAAUACAAUGUCUGUGGUCGAAGAUGAUUGGAGGAUGACGUGGUAUUUAUUCGCAGGACCCAGGGGCCCAUAAUACCAGUAGUGCUCCCCCAUAGAAGAAGCUCUACUCAUGUUCUAUGACAGGACUCAGCAACCUCGGGCACUCCAGCUGGGAGUUGUAGUGCCAGAGGAUGAAGAUUCCUGCUGUGUAAUGUUCUUGCUAGGGUUGUGGUUAAUAAAUGGUGGUCUGCGGGAGGAG